CAAAUACUCCCUCCGUCCCAAAAUUCUUGUCUUAGAUUUGUCUAGAUAUGAAUGUAUCUAGUCAUGUUUUAGCAUUUAGAUACAUUUUAUUUCUAGACAAACCUAAGACAAGAAUUUUGGGACGGAGGGAGUAGAAU
rnacentral:pre_miRNA from 1 species